rnacentral:tRNA from 1 species
GCUCCUUUGGCUAAGUGGUAUAGCGCCGUAAGUCCUUGAACCGUCCAGAAUCGCCUAGACAUGUCGUUAACAGUAUAUCGCAGUCACUAGUAUCAAAUCUGCUAUGAGGAGAUCACUGGUUCGAUUCCAGUAAGGAGCA